UACGAAGGGGGCUAGCGUUAAUCGGAAUUACUGGGCGUAAAGCGUGCGUAGACGGUUAUGUAAGUCAGAUGUGAAAGCCCCGGGCUUAACCUGGGAAUGGCAUUUGAGACUGCAUAGCUAGGGUGCGGAAGAGGGAAGCGGAAUUUCCGGUGUAGCGGUGAAAUGCGUAGAUAUCGGAAGGAACACCAGUGGCGAAAGCGGCUUCCUGGUCCAGCACCGACGUUCAGGCACGAAAGCGUGGGGAGCAAACAGG
rnacentral:rRNA from 1 species